rnacentral:rRNA from 1 species
AUAUCAGUCAUGCAUAGCAUAUCAAUAAGCGGAGGAAAAGAAACUAACUAGGAUUCCCUUAGUAACGGCGAGUGAAGCGGGAAGAGCUCAAAUUUGAAAUCUUCAAGGUUCUACCUUGACGAAUUGUAGUUUAUAGAAGUGUUUUCUGUUAGUAGAGUGGCAAAAGUUCUUUGGAAUAGGACAUCAUAGAGGGUGAGAAUCCCGUAUUUGGUCAUUCUUCCUAGCGUUGUGAUACACUUUCAACGAGUCGGAUUGUUUGGGAAUGUAGUCCAAAAUGGGUGGUAAAUUUCAUCUAAAGCUAAAUAUUGGCGAGAGACCGAUAGCGAACAAGUACCGUGAGGGAAAGAUGAAAAGAACUUUGAAAAGAGAGUUAAACAGUACGUGAAAUUGUCAAAAGGGAAGCGUUUGACACCAGUGUUGUUUUUCCGAAAAUCAAUUACGAAUGUUUUAUUUUUGAGAAGUUAUGACUUCAUCGGCUUGCUUCUCUCUUUAUGAAACUUUCUUAAUGCACUUUUCGGUUAACAAGUCAACAUCAAUUUCCUUUGUUGUAAAAGGGUAUGAGGAAGGUGGCUUUCUUUUCGGAGAAAGUGUUUAUAGCCUUGUACCUCUGCAAUCGGAGAGAUUGAGGUCUGCAGCGUAGAUCCUUCGGGGUUAGGAUACAGUUUGUGCUAAGUUAUAGCUUUUCAUAGACAACUUGUUGACUAUGUUUAGUCUUGUAGCUUACUCGCUUACUGCUAUUUUACCUACGCUUAGGAUGUUGAUCUCUCACAGUCGAGC